rnacentral:rRNA from 1 species
UGAAUACGAGAUGCUACGGCAUUGAAGCAGUGUAUGUCAGACUUCCAAGAAAAGCUCGCAAUGUCAUAAACAAUAAAUGCCUGUACCAUAACCGACACAGGUGGGUAGGUAGAGUAUACUAAGGGGCGCGAGAUAACUCUCUCUAAGGAACUCGGCAAAAUGACUCCGUAACUUCGGGAGAAGGAGUGCCUUAUUUUAUAAGGUUGCAAUAACAAGAUCCAAGCAACUGUUUACCAAAAACACAGGUCUCCGCUAAGUCGAAAGACGAUGUAUGGGGGCUGACGCCUGCCCAGUGCCAGAAGGUUAAAGAAGUUGGUUAGCUUCGGCAAAGCUGAUGACUGAAGCCCUGGUGAACGGCGGCCGUAACUAUAACGGUCCUAAGGUAGCGAAAUUCCUUGUCGGGUAAGUUCCGACCCGCACGAAAGGCGUAAUGAUUUGGAUACUGUCUCGGAGAGGGGCUCGGUGAAAUAGACCUGUCUGUGAAGAUGCGGACUACCUGCACCUGGACAGAAAGACCCUAUGAAGCUUUACUGUAACUUGAGAUUGAAAUUGGACUUUAUUUGCGCAGUAUAGGUGGGAGACGUUGAGAAUAUUCUUGCGGGAAUAUUGGAGUCAUCAGUGAGAUACCACUCUUGUAAUGUUAGAUUUCUAACUUUGUAUCAUUAUCUGGUCAAAGGACAGUUUCAGGCGGGCAGUUUGACUGGGGCGGUCGCCUCCUAAACGGUAACGGAGGCGCACAAAGGUUUCCUCUGAACGUGUAGAAAUCGUAUCUAGAGUGUAAAGGCAUAAGGAAGCUUGACUGUGAGACCUACAAGUCGAGCAGGGACGAAAGUCGGUCUUAGUGAUCUGACGGUGCUGAGUGGAAAGGCCGUCACUCAACGGAUAAAAGUUACUCUAAGGAUAACAGGCUGAUCUCCCCCAAGAGUUCACAUCGACAGGGAGGUUUGGCACCUCGAUGUCGGCUCAUCGCAUCCUGGGGCGGUAGUACGUCCCAAGGGUUGGGCUGUUCGCCCAUGAAAGCGGUACGCGAGCUGGGUUCAGAACGUCGUGAGACAGUUCGGUCCAUAUCCGGUGUAGGCGUUAGAAUAUUGAGAGGAGCCUUCUUUAGUACGAGAGGACCGAGAAGGACAUACCUCUGGUGUACCAGUUAUCGUGCCAACGGUAAACGCUGGGUAGCUAUGUAUGGAGUGGAUAACCGCUGAAAGCAUCUAAGUGGGAAGCCCACCUCAAGAUAAG